rnacentral:rRNA from 1 species
UGAGUAAAUGUACAGGUUCGUAGGAACUGCGAAGGAUCAUAAUGAGUUUUUGAAGCAGGGAGCUGUUGCUGGCGUUGCUUUGCGCGCGCAUAUAUGUGCACGGCUUCCAUGCUUCCUCAAUCCACUCAACCCUGUGCAUUUAUGGGAGUUAGUAGUCGGCGGUGGUCUGUACUACUUGUCGGCGAACACUUCAAUAUAUACAAAACCCAUACUAUUGUUAUGUUGAAUGUAAUAGCUCCUUGUGGGCGAAAUAUCAAAAUACAACUUUCAACAACGGAUCUCUUGGCUCUCGCAUCGAUGAAGAACGCAGCGAAAUGCGAUAAGUAAUGUGAAUUGCAGAAUUCAGUGAAUCAUCGAAUCUUUGAACGCACCUUGCGCCCCUUGGUAUUCCGAGGGGCAUGCCUGUUUGAGUGUCAUGUUCAUCUCAACUUCCUUGUCUUUUUUAUUAAGGCUUGGGUGUUGGACUUGGAGGUUGUAUGUGCUGGCCCCAGUAGUGGUGGUCGGCUCCUCUUAAAUGCAUUAGCUGGGCUUUGGCUCGCGUUGACGGUGUAAUAGGAAUUAGUUCUAUCUAAACACAUUCACCCUUGCGCUUGCCUAGAGGGUCUGCUUCUAAUUGUCUUUUGGACAAAUUUUUUCUUGACUCCUGACCUCAAAUCAGUUAGAUUACAUUUGGU